UCCCAACCAGUGUUUCCAGCCGACUUUCUUGUGACUAAGACCUCCAAGCCACUUAGAAGGCCAGGGAAAUCAGGGGAUGUGGCCGAAACCAUGAUGCCUUCAUGUGUGUUAUGCUUCUGUAACAUAAUACUGCAGGCUGGGUCGUUUAUGAACAACAGGAAUAAUGACUCUGGUAGGUGGGAAGUCCAAGGACAGGUAGUGUCAUCUGGCUGCUGUCUGUGCUAUACAUGUCCUAACAUGGUGGUGAGGGCAGGAAGGAGGUCUGAGAAGAUGAAGUGGAAGGUAGCAGGCCACAGCCAAAGGAUGAUCUGUUUCUGCUGCAAGUAGAUUAAGUGCCGUUUUCUGACAGUAUCAAGGCUUCAACUCUCCCCAGUCCUCAGCCUGUGACAUCCUCUCAGACUUUACGGCUUAGAUGCCUUGGGAUGAAAGGUGGAAUGUGAAGGGCAUCCAUAAGAACUGUUUUGACCGGAGCUCCUCAGGCAUCACCCUUCCUUCUGAAGCAGCGACUCACCUGGUCUCACAAGAAUCAGAGUACUCGCAAGACUUCUGCCUGACCAAGAUAAAAAAAGGAAAAAAAAAAAAAAAAAAAGCCUGUGCACAUUAUUUUUUUCCCUCUUAAUUUUAUAAAUGCCAAUGUCUAUGGAACCCAAAACAGGGAAUGACAUUCUGACCAGCCAAUUUUCUCACUGAAGCUUGUACAAGGGGAAAUUUUCUUUGCUUCCUAUUUUUAUGCUGUCUUCUAGUGUUGCUGGCACGGGUAACAAUCACACUUGGCGCUUCUGUCUUUUCUGUCAUCCAAAGAUUUCAAAAUGCUGUGUGGAGGGGGCGGUGGCAUGUUCAUUCUCACAGCGGGAGGGGAGAGAGGUCAGCUCUGUUGUUCCUGGUGAGCAACUAGGAUGCAGAGGUGAUGUGACUUAGAUGCCUGCUCUACAGAGCA